rnacentral:rRNA from 1 species
UACGAAGGGGGCUAGCGUUACUCGGAAUCACUGGGCGUAAAGGGUGCGUAGGCGGGUUCUUAAGUCAGAGGUGAAAUCCUGGAGCUCAACUCCAGAACUGCCUUUGAUACUGAGAGUCUUGAGUACGGGAGAGGUGAGUGGAACUGCGAGUGUAGAGGUGAAAUUCGUAGAUAUUCGCAAGAACACCAGUGGCGAAGGCGGCUCACUGGCCCGUUACUGACGCUGAGGCACGAAAGCGUGGGGAGCAAACAGG